AAGUGCUUGUGUUCAUGGGAGACCAAAGCGAUUCAGUAGAUCUCAUCUUAUGUCAUGAGAAGUGAACACUCGCCACAGCUGCCAUUUUGUUAACUGCAGUGUUCCAGGGCUGAUGAAAUAACAACGAAUAAACGUCUGCUGUAUGUUCAUCAGAUUGGUUUUAUUUCUCAUCUGUGCCGUAAGAACCAACUAUUAAAAUCUUUUCAUAUCACUUCUGCAGAUACAAGUGCAGCUUUGAAAGAAUGAGUUGACACAGACAAGGUAACAUUCAAAAACAACAACUAAAUUAUACUGCUGCUGGAGAAAUGUGAGCCAAAAAGAAUUCGUUUUGAUAUUCUGAUCAUAAGCUGUGAAUGCAGAGUUUGCUGGUAAGAAAAAUCUAAAAGCAAAAAGCUGAAUUUAUACUGCUCAAGGAUACAGGAUGCCACUGAGAGAUGAGCAGUGCAUUUGUAAGG